rnacentral:rRNA from 1 species
GACAGAGGUCUCGAGCGUAGGCGGAAUCACUGGGCUUAAAGCGUGUGUAGGCGGAUGUCUAAGUACCUUGUGAAAUCCCACAGCUUAACUGUGGAAUUGCUUGGUAUACUGGAUGUCUUGAGCCAACUAGAGGCAACCGGAACAAAUGGUGGAGCGGUGAAAUGCGUAGAUAUCAUUUGGAACGCCAAUGGUGAAACAGGUUGCUGGGUUGUGCUGACGCUGAGACACGAAAGCCAGGGGAGCGAACGGG